UACAGAGGGGGCAAGCGUUAUUCGGAAUUAUUGGGCGUAAAGGGCGCGUAGGCGGCCUGGCAAGUGGAAGGUGAAAUCCCUCGGCUUAACCGAGGAACUGCCCUCCAAACUGCUUGGCUUGAGUCCGGGAGAGGUGAGUGGAAUUCCCAGUGUAGCGGUGAAAUGCGUAGAUAUUGGGAGGAACACCUGUGGCGAAGGCGGUUGCCUGGGGCUUUGCUGACGCUGAUGCGCGAAAGCGUGGGGAGCGAUCCGG
rnacentral:rRNA from 1 species